AUUGAACGCUGGCGGCAGGCCUAACACAUGCAAGUCGAACGAGUGGCGGACGGGUGAGUAAUGUCUGGGAAACUGCCCGAUGGAGGGGGAUAACUACUGGAAACGGUAGCUAAUACCGCAUACCAUCGGAUGUGCCCAGAUGGGCUUAGCUAGUAGGUGGGGUAACGGCGCACCUAGGCGAAGAUCCCUAGCGGGUCUGACAGGAUGACCAGCCACACUGGAACUGAGACACGGUCCAGACUCCUACGGGAGGCAGCAGUGGGGAAUAGUGCACAAUGGGCGCAAGCCUGAUGCAGCCAUGCCGCGUGUAUGAAGAAGGCCUUCGGGUUGUAAAGUACUUUCAGCGAGGAGGCGUUACUCGCAGAAGAAGCACCGGCUAACUCCGUGCCAGCAGCCGCGGUAAUUC
rnacentral:rRNA from 1 species